rnacentral:rRNA from 1 species
AAAUUGAAGAGUUUGAUCAUGGCUCAGAUUGAACGCUGGCGGCAGGCCUAACACAUGCAAGUCGAACGGUAACAGGAAUCAGCUUGCUGAUUUGCUGACGAGUGGCGGACGGGUGAGUAAUGUCUGGGAAACUGCCUGAUGGAGGGGGAUAACUACUGGAAACGGUAGCUAAUACCGCAUAACGUCGCAAG